ensembl:snoRNA
CCUCCAAUUAUUGGCACGCAUGCAGCAGCUCGUGCCUCCUGUGUGUGAUGUACGGAGGGAUAGGAAAUGGGAACUCCAGCGUUGUGUCUGCAGGGCAGGCCGCUCCCGUCUGCUGGUCCGAUCCUCAUUCGCUGGCACACGC